rnacentral:rRNA from 1 species
GAUGAACGCUGGCGGCGUGCCUAAUACAUGCAAGUAGAACGCUGAAGCUUGGUUCUUGCACCGAGCGGAUGAGUUGCGAACGGGUGAGUAACGCGUAGGUAACCUGCCUCUUAGCGGGGGAUAACUAUUGGAAACGAUAGCUAAUACCGCAUAAAAGUCGAUAUCGCAUGAUAUUGAUUUGAAAGGUGCAAAUGCAUCACUAAGAGAUGGACCUGCGUUGUAUUAGCUAGUUGGUGAGGUAACGGCUCACCAAGGCGACGAUACAUAGCCGACCUGAGAGGGUGAUCGGCCACACUGGGACGGAGACACGGCCCAGACGCCUGCGGGAGGGCGCAGUAGGGAAUCUUCGGCAAUGGGGGCAACCCUGACCGAGCAACGCCGAGUGAGAGGAGAAGGUUUUCGGAUCGGAAAGCUCUGUUGUAAGAGAAGAACGAGUGUGAGAGUGGAAAGUGCACACUGUGACGGUAACUUAACAGAAAGCGACGGCUAACUACGUG